UGACUGAGCGGCGGACGGGUGAGUAACGCGUGGGUAACCUGCCUCGUACAGGGGGAUAACAGUUGGAAACGGCUGCUAAUACCGCAUAAGCGCACAGUACCGCAUGGUACGGUGUGAAAAACUCCGGUGGUAUGAGACGGACCCGCGUCUGAUUAGGUAGUUGGUGGGGUAACGGCCUACCAAGCCGACGAUCAGUAGCCGACCUGAGAGGGUGACCGGCCACAUUGGGACUGAGACACGGCCCAA
rnacentral:rRNA from 1 species